UAUUCUUGCUGAAAAGGGGGGAUGAUUCAUGCCAUGUGGUGACACAAGGGCACUGAAUGAUAACAUUAUACAAGUGCUGCACUUCAGCCAUUCCACUGAAUUCUGUAGGACUUUCUGUCUAUUGGAUCACUGCAGAGGAGUCCAUUAAAUACAGUGAAUCUCUUUGCUCAUGUCAGGAAGACAGUGAUAGAGAAGAUGACCCUUACUAAAGGUAAGACACAAUUUAAGUAAUUUUAUGUUUGUUACAAUGUUUGCAUUCAA
rnacentral:lncRNA from 1 species